AUUGAACGCUGGCGGCAUGCCUUACACAUGCAAGUCGAACGGUAACAGGUCUUCGGACGCUGACGAGUGGCGAACGGGUGAGUAAUACAUCGGAACGUGCCCAGUCGUGGGGGAUAACUACUCGAAAGAGUAGCUAAUACCGCAUACGAUCUGAGGAUGAAAGCGGGGGACCUUCGGGCCUCGCGCGAUUGGAGCGGCCGAUGGCAGAUUAGGUAGUUGGUGGGAUAAAAGCUUACCAAGCCGACGAUCUGUAGCUGGUCUGAGAGGACGACCAGCCACACUGGGACUGAGACACGGCCCAGACUCCUACGGGAGGCAGCAGUGGGGAAUUUUGGACAAUGGGCGAAAGCCUGAUCCAGCAAUGCCGCGUGCAGGAUGAAGGCCUUCGGGUUGUAAACUGCUUUUGUACGGAACGAAAAAGCUCCUUCUAAUACAGGGGGCCCAUGACGGUACCGUAAGAAUAAGCACCGGCUAACUACGUGCCAGCCGCCGCCGUAA
rnacentral:rRNA from 1 species